rnacentral:rRNA from 1 species
GAUGAACGCUGGCGGCGUGCCUAAUACAUGCAAGUCGAGCGAACAGACGAGGAGCUUGCUCCUCUGACGUUAGCCGCGGACGGGUGAGUAACACGUGGAUAACCUCCCUAUAAGACUGGGAUCACUUCGGGAAACCGGAGCUAAUACCGGAUAAUAUAUUGAACCGCAUGGUUCAAUAGUAAAAGACGGUUUUGCUGUCUCUUGUAGAUGGAUCCGCGCCGUAUUAGCUAGUUGGUACGGUAGCGGCUUAUCAAGGCGACGACGGGUAGCCGGCCUGAGAGGGGGACCGGCCAGAUUGGGAAUGAGAUACGGACCAGACUCCUACGGGAGGCAGCAGUGGGGAAUAUUGCACAAUGGGCGGAAGGCGGAUGCAGCAACGCCGAGUGCGGGAUGACGGCCUUCGGGUUGUAAACCGCUUUCGCCUGUGACGAAGCGUGAGUGACGGUAAUGGGUAAAGAAGCACGGGCUAACUACGUG